GAUGAAGGCCUUCGGGUUGUAAACCCUCUUUCAGUAGGGAAGAAGCGACUGGGUUCUCUCAGACGUGACGGGUACCUGCAGAAGAAGCACCGGCUAAAUACGUGCCAGCAGCCGCGGUAAUACGUAGGGGCGCAAGCGUUGUCCGGAAUUAUUGGGCGUAAAGAGCUCGUAGGCGGUUUGUCGCGUCUGGUGUGAAAACUCAAGGCUCAACCUUGAGCUUGCAUCGGGUACGGGCAGACUAGAGUGUGGUAGGGGUGACUGGAAUUCCUGGUGUAGCGGUGGAAUGCGCAGAUAUCAGGAGGAANNNNNAUGGCGAAGGCAGGUCACNNNNNNNNNUACUGACGCUGAGGAGCGAAAGCAUGGGGAGCGAACAGGAUUAGAUACCCUGGUAGUCCAUGCCGUAAACGUUGGGCACUAGGUGUGGGGCUCAUUCCACGAGUUCCGCGCCGCAGCUAACGCAUUAAGUGCCCCGCCUGGGGAGUACGGCCGCAAGGCUAAAACUCAAAGGAAUUGACGGGGGCCCGCACAAGCGGCGGAGCAUGCGGAUUAAUUCGAUGCAACGCGAAGAACCUUACCAAGGCUUGACAUACACCGGAAUCGGCCAGAGAUGGUCGCGUCUUCGGACUGGUGUACAGGUGGUGCAUGGUUGUCGUCAGCUCGUGUCGUGAGAUGUUGGGUUAAGUCCCGCAACGAGCGCAACCCUCGUCCUAUGUUGCCAGCACGUCAUGGUGGGGACUCAUAGGAGACUGCCGGGGUCAACUCGGAGGAAGGCGGNGACGACG
rnacentral:rRNA from 1 species